GGAAUUGAGCUCAGUCGGUAGAGCGCGAGAUUCUUAAUCUCGGGGUCGUGGGUUCAAUCCCCACGUUGGGUGGUUCCU